rnacentral:lncRNA from 1 species
AUGAAUUGGUGGAGAGUUUUCGAUAUCUUUUGAUAGUACCACUUAAACGACGAGAACCAUGAAAAUAAAAUAGUAUCAAUUACAAUGAAUAUUUGCUUUUUAAAUCCAUCAUUUCAAGUAAUGUCGUUUUUUAAACCAAACAUGGUGUAAUGAGAAGGGUGAUAUAAAACGUGAAAUAUGUUAUCAGGUGGCGUUUUGUUUGUCUAUUAGGGAUGAGCAUGAGUAUUUGUAGUUUUCAUAUCAACAGGUU